rnacentral:lncRNA from 1 species
UGGAACUAAAGGAAUGUGCCACCCCAUAUAAGAAGACUGUGUGAAGACAAACCAAAACAAACAAGGACUGGAAACCAUCAAAUCAGAAGUGGUACCGAGACGGAAUUUGAAAGACUCUCCGGCUGUGUUUGCUAAUUCCCUGGGGAGACUACAUCGCUGGUCUGUUCUCUGGGCCCUUCUGGGCCAUUGCCUCAGUUCUGCCAGGGCUGUAAUUAGUCUCCUCCACAUCUGCUAUUACAUGGGUUGGCUUGUGGUUGGAGGUUUCACAAAUUAACACAAACUUUUUUUUUUAAGUUGAAGGGUUCUUAAUUAGUUUAAAAAUAACUCUCAGCUCUGCUCAUGAGCAGCGGCUUCUGGAUUGUACGAGGUGUUCUUGUACUAAGGGUGCGCUUCAGAUGAGGACACAAGGUUGCCCAGAGGCCAUCUUCGGAAAAGCAACUCGAGAAAGGGCAUGGUUGGAGGAGCUAUGUAUUUUUCUGUCUCUAUUGCUA